CGCCAGCCCGCUCAGAAACUCAAAUGAAUUGACGGGGACCCGCACAAGCGGCGGAGCAUGCGGAUUAAUUCGAUGCAACGCGAAGAACCUUACCAAGGCUUGACAUAUAGAGGAAACGUCUGGAAACAGUCGCCCCGCAAGGUCUCUAUACAGGUGGUGCAUGGUUGUCGUCAGCUCGUGUCGUGAGAUGUUGGGUUAAGUCCCGCAACGAGCGCAACCCUCGUUCUAUGUUGCCAGCACGUAAUGGUGGGAACUCAUGGGAUACUGCCGGGGUCAACUCGGAGGAAGGUGGGGAUGACGUCAAAUCAUCAUGCCCCUUAUGUCUUGGGCUUCACGCAUGCUACAAUGGCCGGUACAAAGGGCUGCAAUACCGUAAGGUGGAGCGAAUCCCAAAAAGCCGGUCCCAGUUCGGAUUGAGGUCUGCAACUCGACCUCAUGAAGUCGGAGUCGCUAGUAAUCGCAGAUCAGCAACGCUGCGGUGAAUACGUUCCCGGGUCUU
rnacentral:rRNA from 1 species